GCCGGAGUGGCGGAAUAGGUAGACGCCUGGGACUUAAAAUCCCAUGGGUAUUUAUUACCCGUGCCGGUUCGAUUCCGGCCUCCGGCA
rfam:Candidate division Zixibacteria bacterium SM23_73 WORSMTZ_56777, whole genome shotgun sequence.